rnacentral:lncRNA from 1 species
UCUUUCCAGUUAGUAUCAUAUUCUAACUGAAUUAAUAAGUCAUACUUUAUGCCUUUUCUUCACCUGUCAAAACGUCCAAACUGAUUUUGUUUUUUAUUUUUAUAGUCUAAACUGAGCUGGCUUCCAUUUCUGACAGAUUUGACUUUGAAAUGUUUUUACUUAUCUGAAAGGUAGGAAGAUUUUUCGUUCUGGUCUGAAUCUCCAACUUCUGUCUUCUUAAGCUACUCGCUUGAGAUCUUUCCCCAGGCUAAAUUAGAAAGGUAAAUCUGCUUCAAAAUAUAAUUAGAUAGGACCUUUUUGAAAAAUGAUAGUGCUAUUUAUAUGAUAUUAAUUACCUGCCUUUAUAACUAUUUGGAUUGAAUGAACCAGUUUAGGUCAUAAUUCAUAAGAUUGAAAAGAAAAAACAAAAAAUUUUAGUUGCUAACUGUAAGAAACCACAGUGAAAAAUCACUGAAAUCCACUUUUUAAAAAUGGUGCCGAGACUAGAGAACAACUUGGUUCAGAGAAGUGUUUGAGAAAAGUCUGCCUUGUGAUGUAUGUCCAUUUCAAAAAUUUAUUUUGUAGUUUAAGUAUAGA